GAUGAACGCUGGCGGCGUGCCUAAUACAUGCAAGUCGAGCGAACAGAUGAGGAGCUUGCUCCUCUGACGUUAGCGGCGGACGGGUGAGUAACACGUGGAUAACCUACCUAUAAGACUGGGAUAACUUCGGGAAACCGGAGCUAAUACCGGAUAAUAUAUUGAACCGCAUGGUUCAAUAGUGAAAGACGGUUUUGCUGUCACUUAUAGAUGGAUCCGCGCCGCAUUAGCUAGUUGGUAAGGUAACGGCUUACCAAGGCAACGAUGCGUAGCCGACCUGAGAGGGUGAUCGGCCACACCGGAACUGAGACACGGUCCAGACUCCUACGGGAGGCAGCAGUAGGGAAUCUUCCGCAAAGGGCGAAAGCCUGACGGAGCAACGCCGCGUGAGUGAUGAAGGUCUUCGGAUCGUAAAACUCUGUUAUUAGGGAAGAACAAAUGUGUAAGUAACUAUGCACGUCUUGACGGUACCUAAUCAGAAAGCCACGGCUAACUACGUG
rnacentral:rRNA from 1 species